rnacentral:rRNA from 1 species
CUCUCCGGAGAGGGAGCCUGAGAAACGGCUACCACAUCCAAGGAAGGCAGCAGGCGCGCAAAUUACCCACUCUCGGCACGAGGAGGUAGUGACGAAAAAUAACGAGACGGAUCUCUUUGAGGCCCGUUAUCGGAAUGAGAACAAUUCAAAUCCUUUAACGAGGAUCUAGCGGAGGGCAAGUCUGGUGCCAGCAGCCGCGGUAAUUCCAGCUCCGCAGGUGUAUAUCUAUGCUGCUGCGGUUAAAAAGCUCGUAGUUGGAUCUGCGUGCUCGGAACUGGUUGGCUCACUGAGUUCAAACUGGUCUCCGGCACUUUAUUGGCUGGUUUUCCCUUGAUGCUCUUAACCGGGUGUCUUGGGUGGCUAGCACGUUUACUUUGAAAAAAUUAGAGUGCUCAAUACAGGCGCGAAGCCUUGAAUAGUGGUGCAUGGAAUAAUAGAAUAGGACCUCGGCUCUAUUUUGUUGGUUUUCGGAACACGAGGUAAUGAUUAAGAGGGACGGACGGGGGCAUUCGUAUUGCGACGUUAGAGGUGAAAUUCUUGGAUCGUCGCAAGACGGACGACUGCGAAAGCAUUUGCCAAGAAUGUUUUCAUUAAUCAAGAACGAAAGUUAGGGGUUCGAAGGCGAUCAGAUACCGCCCUAGUUCUAACCGUAAACGAUGCCAACUAGCGAUUCGCAGGCGUUAAACAACGACCUUGCGGGCAGCUUCCCGGAAACGAAAGUGUUCGGGUUCCGGGGGAAGUAUGGUUGCAAAGCUGAAACUUAAAGGAAUUGACGGAAGGGCACCACCAGGAGUGGAGCCUGCGGCUUAAUUUGACCCAACACGGGAAAACUCACCCGGCCCGGACACCGUAAGGAUUGACAGAUUGAGAGCUCUUUCUUGAUUCGGUGGGUGGUGGUGCAUGGCCGUUCUUAGUUGGUGGAGCGAUUUGUCUGGUUUAUUCCGAUAACGAACGAGACUCUGGCCUACUAAAUAGUGGGCGGAUUCUUUCUGUCCGCAACACUUCUUAGAGGGACAAGCGGUGUUCAGCCGCACGAGAUUGAGCAAUAACAGGUCUGUGAUGCCCUUAGAUGUCCGGGGCUGCACGCGCGCUACACUGAAGGAAUCAGCGUGCUUUCUGACCUUGCCCGAAAGGGCUGGGUAACCCGAUGAAAAUCCUUCGUGAUGGGAUAGGGACUUGCAAUUAUUUCCCUUGAACGAGGAAUUCCCAGUAAGUGUGGGUCAUAAGCUCGCGUUGAUUACGUCCCUGCCCUUUGUACACACCGCCCGUCGCUGCCCGGAACUGAGCCGUUUCGAGAAGAACAGGGACCGUCGUUGAAGGGCCCUAACGGGCUUUUCUCUGAUAGAAACUGUUUUAAUCGCAGUGGCUUGAACCGGGCAAAAGUCGUAACAAGGUU